AUGUGAGGCUGAUGAUGCCUUAGCUGAAAAUCAAUCCUGCACCCAGCAGUAUGUUACUAAUUACAUCAGGCUCCCAGCAAAUGAUUGUGGCUGCUGUGCCGACUCCUGCCUGGGACCAUGGACUGGGAGCUCCUGCCUGCAGCACUGGUCCUCUCUCAGGAGCCAUCCAGGACAGUCACCCUAUAGAGUGCAAGCUCUGCGGCAGUUGACACAUUUCCCCUGUAAACUUGGAAGCUGUACAAUGGCUGAGGGAGCGGAUGAAAAUCGGAUGCAAGGUUUGCUUUUAUCCCACACAAGCAUCAGAAAAAGGAACAUUUAAAACAAAUAGCUAAACAUCCACAGCGUCGGAGAUCACAGAAGUAAUUGCAUGUGUGUAAUAUGGUUUCUUGGUUUCCAGAUAAGUGCGGUACAUGUAUAAUGACAUUUGGAUUUUGUGGUUCCGUUUGGAUGUGAGAAACAUUUUUUAUAAAGGAUAACCGCACUCGUAAUAAAUUAAACCGGCUCAGUCACUGCUAAAA